GAUGAACGCUAGCUACAGGCUUAACACAUGCAAGUCGAGGGGCAGCGGUAUCGAAAGCUUGCUUUCGGUAGCCGGCGACCGGCGCACGGGUGAGUAACGCGUAUCGAACCUGCCUCAUACUCGGGAAUAGCCUUGCGAAAGUAAGAUUAAUGCCCGGUGUUUUCAGAGUCCCGCAUGAGGCUUUGAACAAAGAUUUAUCGGUAUGAGAUGGGGAUGCGUCCCAUUAGCUUGUUGGCGGGGUAACGGCCCACCAAGGCAUCGAUGGGUAGGGGUUCUGAGGGGAAGGUCCCCCACAUUGGAACUGAGACACGGUCCAAACUCCUACGGGAGGCAGCAGUGAGGAAUAUGGGUCAAUGGGCGGAAGCCUGAACCAGCCAAGUAGCGUGCAGGAAGACGGCCCUCCGGGUGGUAAACUGCUUUUAGUUGGGAAUAAAACGGGGCUCGUGAGCCCCCUUGCAUGUACCAUCAGAAAAAGGACCGGCUAAUUCCGUG
rnacentral:rRNA from 1 species